CCUACGGGAGGCAGCAGUGAGGAAUAUUGGACAAUGGGCGCAAGCCUGAUCCAGCCAUGCCGCGUGCAGGAAGAAGCAUCUAUGGUGUGUAAACUGCUUUUGUACAGGAAGAAACACUCCCUCGUGAGGGAGCUUGACGGUACUGUAAGAAUAAGGACCGGCUAACUCCGUGCCAGCAGCCGCGGUAAUACGGAGGGUCCGAGCGUUAUCCGGAAUCAUUGGGUUUAAAGGGUCCGUAGGCGGUUUAAUAAGUCAGUGGUGAAAUCUGGUCGCUCAACGAUCAAAUGGCCAUUGAUACUGUUAGACUUGAAUUAUAAGGAAGUAACUAGAAUAUGUAGUGUAGCGGUGAAAUGCUUAGAUAUUACAUGGAAUACCAAUUGCGAAGGCAGGUUACUACUUAUGGAUUGACGCUGAUGGACGAAAGCGUGGGGAGCGAACAGGAUUAGAUACCCUGGUAGUCCACGCCGUAAACGAUGGAUACUAGCUGUUCGGAGCAAUCUGAGUGGCUAAGCGAAAGUGAUAGUAUCCACCUGGGGAAGUACGUUGCAAGAUUGAAACUNAAGGAUUGACGGNNGAGAGNGCGAGGACGACGACGAGGAGGAGG
rnacentral:rRNA from 1 species